UGGGGAAUUGUUCACAAUGGGCGCAAGCCUGAUGGAGCGACGUCGCGUGAUGGACGAAGUGCUUCGGCACGUAAACAUCUUUUUAUGUGGGAUGAAAUUAUUGACAGUACCACAUGAAUAAGGGGCUCCUAACUCUGUGUCAGCAGGAGCGGUAAUACAGAGGCCCCAAGCGUUAUCCGGAAUCACUGGGCGUAAAGGGUGUCGAGGCGGUUGUAUUAGUCGUUCGUAAAAUCUACGAGCUUAACUUGUAGGCGGCGAACGAAACGGUACGACUUGAGGUUUGGAGAGGUGCGUGGAACUCACGGUGUAGGGGUGAAAUCCGUUGAUAUCGUGGGGAACACCAAAGGCGAAGGCAGCGCACUGGCCAAAAUCUGACGCUCACACACGAAAGCUAGGGUAGCGAAGAGGAUUAGAUACCCCUGUAGUCCCUGAGCGGGCUGGCAAGGCGCAU
rnacentral:rRNA from 1 species